AUCUCGAGUGCGUGUAAGGACUCUGUCCGAGGCGGAUGAUUCUGGUGUACUUCCCCGAUAUCAGAAACCUGCCUCGGACAGGGCCCUAUAUGCACUCGUCGUGCUU
rfam:Corynebacterium sp. KPL1855 genomic scaffold addTD-supercont1.1, whole genome shotgun sequence.